GCCGCCGUGGCGAAAUGGCAUCGCGUUGCUUUCCUACGAAGUUGCUUCGUGGAUCCGCCUAAGGCAAAGGCUCCGGGUUCGAGUCCCGGCGGUGGUU